CUCGGCGCUCUCGGAAAAAAUGUUGAAUGACACUCUGUUGAAAGCUCUACUGCUGGUUCUCUUCACGGCACUGGAAAGCGAGGUCUUCUGUUGCAAGCCGUUUGACGCAGCGCGGGGAAAAAGGAUUUUGCGGCUUAGAGCCAACUUUAUAAAGAUACAAAAUCAGUGCAGAAGACAAAUCGUCGCCACAAUGAAACUCCUCACGCGGAACGAUCUUAAUAAGCUUGUCGAAGCUUUCUGCAACGCACAUAAUGACUGCAUGAAGUCG